AGAACACCGCUUUCGCCCUCGCUGCGUAAGCAGUAAGGACUGAAGCCCCGGACCUUUGAGCCCGGGCGUCGUCCCCCGUCAAUCCGGCGGAUGGAGGAACGGCGUUACAUAGACCGGAUCGCCACCUCAGGGGCGCCGCGGCCCUGGGGUGGGACAUGCACCGCGGCUGGCGGAAGCGGAUCCCGUCGGGAGGAGCCGCCAAGCGAGAACCAAUAUCUCGGACACGCUCGUAGAGAUCCCGGAGGAAGCUGCUUCGGACGCGGGUUCAACUCCCGCCGCCUCCACCA
rnacentral:tmRNA from 1 species